UGCAAGUGAUUAUCUCGCGAUGGUCUUCCAAGCCUUGUGGUUGUGACGAGACUGUCAAAUGGCAACAGAGCUGAUGCCGUCAC